AUGCCAGUGGCGGUAAUGUCAGACAAUGCCUUCAGUUUCAAAAAGCUGUUGGAUCAGUGUGAGAACCAGGAGCUUGAGGCUCCUGGAGGAAUUGCCACACCGCCAAUGUAUGGUCAGCUUCUAGCUUUGUAUUUGUUCCAGAAUGACAUGAAUAAUGCAAGAUAUCUGUGGAAGAGAAUACCACCUGCUAUAAAGUCUGCAAAUUCUGAACUUGGGGGAAUUUGGUCAGUAGGACAGCGAAUCUGACAAAGAGAUUUCCCUGGGAUCUAUACAACCAUCAAUGCCCACCAGUGGUCAGAGACUGUGCAGCCAAUCAUGGAAGCCCUUAGAGAUGCAACGAGGGGCUGUGCCUUUGCCCUGGUCCCUCAAGCUUAUACCUUCAUCAUUGCAGAUGAUCUUGCAGCCUUUGUUGGGCUUCCUGUGGAAGAGGCUGUGAAAGGUGUGUUGGAACAAGGAUGGCAGGCCAACUCCACCACAAGGAUGGUUCUUCCCAGGAAGCCAGCCUCAGGAGCCCUGGAUGUUUCCUUGAACAGGUUUAUUCCCUUACCAGAGCCUGCCCCAGUUCCACCAGCCCACAGCAGCAGCUCGCCAGGCUCACCGAUUACAUGGCUUUCCUGGAAAACUGAUCGAUCACUCUGAGUUCAAGAUCCACCUUCAGUCCCUGUCACUGACAGACAUGGAGUUUUAUUCUGAGUUGGGAACAGGGUGAGCGCCUCUGUGUCCUUUGGGUGUAAUAAAAUGCACGGAGAAGAUAAAGUGCAUUGUACAGUUUCUUCUCAGACACUUUUGAAUGUCCUUGGAGCAGUUUUCAUUUGUAUUGAUCACUUUGGCUGGAGCCAUCAGUAUUAUACAUCGAGUUUCUGUCACGGAUUGGACUCCUAACACAAGUCCUGCUGCAAGUAGCUGCAAGUAUAUACCACACUUCUGUGUGCCACUGGCCUCCAGCUGAAGUGACGUGCUUGGGAUGUGAGGAGGAUUGUCUCGGCAGCUGCCCUGCCCACAUUGUCCCUCAUGCUCUGGAGAAUGUGCUAUUCUUCCCAUCCCAGAACAAGGAAUCAGUGCUGUAGAAUCAGAAGGAGCUGGGUG